GAUGAAGAAGGUAGCGAAAUGCGAUACGUGAUGUGAAUUGCAGAAUUCAGUGAAUCAUCGAGUCUUUGAACGCACAUUGCGCCCCCUGGUAUUCCGGGGGGCAUGCCUGUCCGAGCGUCAUUGCUGCCCUCAAGCACGGCUUGUGUGUUGGGCCUCCGUCCUCCUCCCGGGGGACGGGCCCGAAAGGCAGCGGCGGCACCGCGUCCGGUCCUCGAGCGUAUGGGGCUUCGUCACCCGCUCUUGUAGGCCCGGCCGGCGCUUGCCGACACAUCAAUCUUUUUUCCAGGUUGACCUCGGAUCAGGUAGGGAUACCCGCUGAACUUAAGCAUAUCAAUAAGCGGAGGA
rnacentral:misc_RNA from 1 species